UGCCGCGUGGAGGAUUAAGGCCCUCUGGGUUGUAAACUCCUUUUAUCUGGGAAGAAAUCCAUAUUUUCUUAUGUGGUUGACGGUACCAGAUGAAUAAGCACCGGCUAACUCCGUGCCAGCAGCCGCGGUAAUACGGAGGGUGCAAGCGUUAUCCGGAUUCACUGGGUUUAAAGGGUGCGUAGGCGGGUAGGUAAGUCCGUGGUGAAAUCUCCGAGCUUAACUCGGAAACUGCCGUGGAUACUAUUUGUCUUGAAUAUUGUGGAGGUGAGCGGAAUAUGUCAUGUAGCGGUGAAAUGCUUAGAUAUGACAUAGAACACCAAUUGCGAAGGCAGCUCACUACACAAUCAUUGACGCUGAGGCACGAAAGCGUGGGGAUCAAACAGGAUUAGAUACCCUGGUAGUCCACGCCCUAAACGAUGAUUACUCGACAUCAGCGAUACACUGUUGGUGUCUGAGCGAAAGCAUUAAGUAAUCCACCUGGGAAGUACGAUCGCA
rnacentral:rRNA from 1 species